rnacentral:misc_RNA from 1 species
UCUCCCGUGAGGGAGCAGUCUCGCCUGACACUUGUAACAGGCAACGAGGGUUGCGUUCGUUUCCCCACUUAAGGGAACAGCUCAAGCCACGAACUGACGACGGCCAUGCAUCACCUGUCCUACACCCUCGAAGGCUUCCUCCCUUUCAGGAGGCGUGCAGUAGGAUUUCUAGCCCUGGUAAGGUUCCUCGCUUAGUGACGAAUUAAGCCCCAUGAUCCACCUCUUGUGCGAGCCCCCGUCUAUUCCUUUGAGUUUUAACCUUGCGGUCGUACUACCCAGGCGGUCCGCUUAAUGCGUUAGCUACGCCACGAAGAGGGUCGAUACUCCUCAUAGCUAGCGGACAACGUUUAGGGCGUGGACUAC